UACGGAGGAUGCAAGCGUUAUCCGGAAUCAUUGGGCGUAAAGCGUCCGCAGGUGGCCAUGUAAGUCUGCUGUCAAAGCGUCUGGCUCAACCAGAUAAAGGCAGUGGAAACUACAUAGCUAGAGUAAGGUAGGGGUAGAGGGAAUUCCUGGUGUAGCGGUGAAAUGCGUAGAGAUCAGGAAGAACACCGGUGGCGAAAGCGCUCUGCUGGACCUUAACUGACACUGAGGGACGAAAGCUAGGGGAGCGAAUGGG
rnacentral:rRNA from 1 species